rnacentral:rRNA from 1 species
UAAUCCGACCUAGGCUCAUCUGAUAGCGCAAGGCCCGAAGGUCCCCUGCUUUCUCCCGUAGGACGUAUGCGGUAUUAGCGUCCGUUUCCGAACGUUAUCCCCCACUAUCAGGCAGAUUCCUAGGUAUUACUCACCCGUCCGCCGCUCUCAAGAGAAGCAAGCUUCUCUCUACCGCUCGACUUGCAUGUGUUAGGCCUGCCGCCAGCGUUCAAUCUGAGCCAGGAUCAAACUCUA